AAUGAACGUUGGCGGCAUGGAUUAGGCAUGCAAGUCGAGCGGGCGUAGCAAUACGUCAGCGGCGCAAGGGACAGGAACACGUAGACUACCUGCCCUCGGGUCUGGCAUAGCCACGGGAAACUGUGGGUAAUUCCAGAUGAUAUCUCCGGAUCAAAGGUGUGAUUCCGCCCGAGGAUGGGUCUGCGUCCUAUUAGCUAGUUGGUGAGGUAACGGCUCACCAAGGCGAUGAUGGGUAGCAGGUGUGAGAGCACGACCUGCGUCAUUGGGACUGAGACACUGCCCAGACACCUACGGGUGGCUGCAGUCGAGAAUUUUUGGCAAUGGGGGAAACCCUGACCAAGCGAUGCCGCGUGCGGGAUGAAGGUCUUCGGAUUGUAAACCGCUGUCAGUGGGGAGAAAAGGAUAGUGAGUUCUCUCAUUAUUUUGAUCUAUCCGCAGAGGAAGUGUGGGCUAAGCUCGUGCCAGCAGCCGCAGUAAUAC
rnacentral:rRNA from 1 species